GAUGAAGAACGUAGCGAAAUGCGAUAAGUAGUGUGAAUUGCAGAAUUCAGUGAAUCAUCGAAUCUUUGAACGCACAUUGCGCCCUUUGGUAUUCCUUAGGGCAUGCCUGUUCGAGCGUCAUUUAAACCUUCAAGCUAAGCUUGGUGUUGGGUGACUGUCCGCUUCACGGCGGACUCGCCUCAAAAUUAUUGGCGGCCGGUACAUUGGCUUCGAGCGCAGCAGAAACGCGAACUCGGGCCCGUCGUAUUGGCUCCCAGAACCUAUCUUCACAAUUUUGACCUCGGAUCAGGUAGGGAUACCCGCUGAACUUAAGCAUAUCAAUAAGCGGAGGA
rnacentral:misc_RNA from 1 species